rnacentral:tRNA from 1 species
UGGGCAUUCGCCAAGCGGCAAGGCACGACACUUUGAAUGUUGUAUACACUGGUUCGAAUCCAGUAUGCCCAG